GGGACAACAGUUGGAAACGACUGCUAAUACCGCAUAAGCCCACGACCCGGCAUCGGGUUGAGGGAAAAGGAGCAAUCCGCUUUGAGAUGGCCUCGCGUCCGAUUAGCUAGUUGGUGAGGUAACGGCCCACCAAGGCAACGAUCGGUAGCCGGACUGAGAGGUUGAACGGCCACAUUGGGACUGAGACACGGCCCAGACUCCUACGGGAGGCAGCAGUGGGGAAUAUUGCACAAUGGGGGAAACCCUGAUGCAGCGACGCCGCGUGGAGGAAGAAGGUCUUCGGAUUGUAAACUCCUGUUGUUGAGGAAGAUAAUGACGGUACUCAACAAGGAAGUGACGGCUAACUACGUGCCAGCAGCCGCGGUAAAACGUAGGUCACAAGCGUUGUCCGGAAUUACUGGGUGUAAAGGGAGCGCAGGCGGGAAGACAAGUUGGAAGUGAAAUCCAUGGGCUCAACCCAUGAACUGCUUUCAAAACUGUUUUUCUUGAGUAGUGCAGAGGUAGGCGGAAUUCCCGGUGUAGCGGUGGAAUGCGUAGAUAUCGGGAGGAACACCAGUGGCGAAGGCGGCCUACUGGGCACCAACUGACGCUGAGGCUCGAAAGUGUGGGUAGCAAACAGGAUUAGAUACCCUGGUAGUCCACACCGUAAACGAUGAUUACUAGGUGUUGGAGGAUUGACCCCUUCAGUGCCGCAG
rnacentral:rRNA from 1 species